rnacentral:rRNA from 1 species
UACGAAGGGGGCUAGCGUUGCUCGGAAUCACUGGGCGUAAAGCGCACGUAGGCGGAUCCUUAAGUCGGGGGUGAAAUCCUGGAGCUCAACUCCAGAACUGCCUUCGAUACUGAGGAUCUCGAGUCCGGGAGAGGUGAGUGGAACUGCGAGUGUAGAGGUGAAAUUCGUAGAUAUUCGCAAGAACACCAGUGGCGAAGGCGGCUCACUGGCCCGAUACUGACGCUGAUGCACGAAAGCGUGGGGAGCAAACAGG